rnacentral:rRNA from 1 species
CCUACGGGUGGCAGCAGUGAGGAAUAUUGGUCAAUGGACGCAAGUCUGAACCAGCCAUGCCGCGUGCAGGAUGACGGCCCUAUGAGUUGUAAACUGCUUUUGUACGAGGGUAAACUCAGAUAUGUGUACUUCUCUGCAUGUACCUUACGAAUAAGGAUCGGCUAACUCCGUGCCAGCAGCCGCGGUAAUACGGAGGAUCCAAGCGUUAUCCGGAUUUAUUGGGUUUAAAGGGUGCGUAGGCGGGUGGUUAAGUUAGUGGUGAAAUUCCGAGGCUCAACUUCGGAAUUGCCGUUGAUACUGUCAGGCUAGAGAAUAGUUGCGGUAGGCGGAAUGCAUGGUGUAGCGGUGAAAUGCUUAGAGAUCACACAGAACACCGAUUGCGAAGGCAGCUUGC